CAGCAGCCGCGGGAAUACGAAGGGUGCAAGCGCUACUCGGAAUUACUGGGCGCAAAGCGCGUGUAGGUGGUUGUUUAAGUCUGUCGUGAAAGCCCUGGGCUCAACCUGGGAAUUGCGAUGGAUACUGGGCGACUAGAGUGCAGUAGAGGAUAGUGGAAUUUCCGGUGUAGCAGUGAAAUGCGUAGAGAUCGGAAGGAACAUCUGUGGCGAAGGCGACUAUCUGGGCCAACACUGACACUGAGACACGAAAGCGUGGGGAGCAAACAGGAUUAGAUACCCCUGUAGUCCCUGUCUCUUAUAC
rnacentral:rRNA from 1 species